rnacentral:lncRNA from 1 species
CAGACUUACAUAAUUACAAAGAGGAGAUUCUCCUGAUUAAAAUGGUGCCCGUGUAACAGUUUUGGUGCCCGUGUAACGGCCCACUAACUUUUAAAGGAGGAACCACGUUGGCUAAUAGGACCGAUGGUAAAGGUAGAUUACUCUCCCGGCGACGAAUCCUUACAAGGCACCCGGACCUUCGUCCUCGAUACCGCCGUCUCUUUCUCCUGCAAAUGACGGGGAUGAGGGCCUUGUCGGGCGUCUAAAGUAAAUCCUUCCCGUCCGACUGGUUGAAGAAAAAGUAUUCCUCCAGUACGGGGUAGGGGUCUCGCUUUGGUAUGAAGUUCCCCUUGAAGUGGAGUGAAGCAGGUGGCGGCAGUUGCGUCUCCCUGUCUGACAGCGC